GUGGGGAAUAUUGGACAAUGGGCGCAAGCCUGAUCCAGCCAUGCCGCGUGAGUGAAGAAGGCCCUCGGGUUGUAAAGCUCUUUUGUUGGGAAAGAAAAGCAGCCGGUUAAUACCCGGUUGUCAUGACGGUACCCAAAGAAUAAGCACCGGCUAACUUCGUGCCAGCAGCCGCGGUAAUACGAAGGGUGCAAGCGUUACUCGGAAUUACUGGGCGUAAAGCGUGCGUAGGUGGUUUGUUAAGUCAGAUGUGAAAGCCCUGGGCUCAACCUGGGAACUGCAUUUGAUACUGGCAGGCUAGAGUGCGGUAGAGGGGUGCGGAAUUCCUGGUGUAGCAGUGAAAUGCGUAGAGAUCAGGAGGAACAUCCGUGGCGAAGGCGGCACCCUGGGCCAGCACUGACACUGAGGCACGAAAGCGUGGGGAGCAAACAGGAUUAGAAACCCCAGUAGUCC
rnacentral:rRNA from 1 species